rnacentral:rRNA from 1 species
UACGAAGGGGGCUAGCGUUGCUCGGAAUCACUGGGCGUAAAGCGCACGUAGGCGGGUCGUUAAGUCGGGGGGUGAAAUCCUGGAGCUCAACUCCAGAACUGCCUUCGAUACUGGCGACCUUGAGUCCGGGAGAGGUGAGUGGAACUCCGAGUGUGGAGGUGAAAUUCGUAGAUAUUCGCAAGAACACCAGUGGCGAAGGCGGCUCACUGGCCCGGUACUGACGCUGAGACGCGAAAGCGUGGGGAGCGAACAGG